GACGAACGCUGCCGGCGUGCUUAACACAUGCAAGUCGAAGGGAGUGGCGAACGGGUGAGUAACACGUGAGUAAUCUGCCCUUUUCUUUGGGAUAAGCCUGGGAACCUGGGUCUAAUACUGGAUGGCUUGGGUUGGGCUCGCGGCUUAUCAGCGUGUUGGUGGGGUUAUGGCUUAGCAAGGCUUUGACGGGUAGCCGGCCUGAGCGGGUGGUCGGUCACGCGGGGACUGAGAUACGGCCCAGACUCCUACGGGAGGGAGCAGUGGGGGAUAUUGCACAAUGGACGAAAGUCUGAUGCAGCGACGUCGGGUGGGGGAUGAAGGCCUUCGGGUUGUAAACUCCUUUCGCCCGCGGAAGGGUAGUGAGUAAAGAAGCGCCGGCUAACUACGUGCCAGCAGCCGCGGUAAUUC
rnacentral:rRNA from 1 species